CAAUAGCGUAUAUUAAAGUUGUUGCAGUUAAAAAGCUCGUAGUUGGAUUUGUGGCGUACGGUGUGUUCCGGGCACUUGUUGCCUGAGUAACCUGCUGUUGCCAUCCUUGGGUGGAACCUGUGUGGCAUUAGGUUGUCGUGCAGGGGAUGCCCAUCAUUUACUGUGAAAAAAUUAGAGUGUUCAAAGCAGGCUUAUGCCGUCGAAUAUAUUAGCAUGGAAUAAUGAGAUAGGACUUUUUUGCUAUUUUGUUGGUUUGCGCAAAGAGGUAAUGAUUAAUAGGGACAGUUGGGGGUAUUCGUAUUCCAUUGUCAGAGGUGAAAUUCUUGGAUUUUUGGAAGACGAACUACUGCGAAAGCAUUUACCAAGGAUGUUUUCAUUAA
rnacentral:rRNA from 1 species